AAACUGCCAUAUUGUUUUUUGCAUUUUACUUUUUAACACGGCAAUUGUAUGAAAAAUAAAUGGACAAAUUUUUUUUAUCUGCUAAUUUACAUAAUUAAGUUGUAUUUUCUAUUUAAUGGGACCUCAACAGAUCUAAACACACAAAAAACUAGGUUGGCCUUGAACAGAAUCCUCACGAAAAUCAGUUUUAAUAUUGUAUCGCCUUUCAAUAGUUUGCGUUGCGCCGACAGUCGCUCUCAGUCCGUUGUUCGAUAAGUAUUGUGGUUUUUUGUGAUGACGCGCCGUGCCAAGCAAUUACGAUGGAACAAAUUGCUUCAGCCUCCUCAUUAACUGGUGGAACUGGAGGUGGAGUGCCUUUAUCACGAGGAAUUGGUCUCUUUGCAGAUAGGACGUUCGGAUAAACAAUCUUACCUCUAUUUUUUUUCGAGAAUCCUCGUGUAGAUGUCGUGCAGAAAUAACAAUCAUUCUCAUGGUUUUGAGGCUCACUCCAAAUCAUUGGCAUUGAAAACGGCAUGGAUUUGUGACUUUCUUCAAGCCAACCUCUCAACGUUCUUGAGCAGCUAUAUACUUUUGGCAACCAACCUUUAUCUCGCUCAUCGAUGGAAAAUCCAAAUAUGUAUUCCCCACAAAUGUAGCAAAAACAAUCUGAGGAAUUUUUACGAGUCCGUGGCAUGGGCGAAUGAUCCUGGUAGUCGUGCCCAACAGCUAUCUGUGAAACGCAUCAUUGAAUUGAAUUGAAUUGAGUCCGUGGC